rnacentral:lncRNA from 1 species
AUGCAAACCAUCCUCUUUGCUUCCUUUGUGAUGGACACUCCUUAGCUUCUGCGCCUUAAUAAGUAUCCCAGAAAUUAUCCAACCAACAUUUUUGAUGUGGAAAUGUGAAUGAAAUCUCUUUUGGUAGAACUACAAGAAAGAUUUUAAAGGUCGUAUUUUUUCAGUUUUAUCAACAUGGACUUAGUAAGUAGCAUAACGUCAUCAGACUGAUCUGGUUCAACUUUUAUGUUACAGAGUUGUGAGUUGUUGUGAGUUGUUUUUCAGUUCCAUGGACCCCCUGAGCAUGCCCAGAUGAACCAAGUGUGCAGGAACCUAAGUGCUUGGACUAAGGAGUGGGGACUGAAUUAAGAAGCGGACACCCCAUGGCAGGGUCCAGUCAGAUCAUGCCUCCCAGCAUCACCUCAUUGCAGGAUCAGAUCAUCCUCAUUACCCUAUGGUUAUGAAACCUGACCUAGCCUCAAGCUCAGGGAGACAGAUUUGAGCAUUUCCUUCAGUUUCCUUGUCAGUCUACUCACAAUAAACCUUUCUCACUGCCAAAACCCAGUGCUUUGGUGCUUGACUUAACUUUGCCUGAGGGCAAACGGACCUGGUUUGGUUUGGUGACAGUAGUUUGUGUGUUAUUUUAAAGCAUUGGUGUUUUAAAAUUG